AGGCGACGAUCUGUAGCGGGUCUGAGAGGAUGAUCCGCCACACUGGGACUGAGACACGGCCCAGACUCUUACGGGAGGCAGCAGUGGGGAAUUUUGGACAAUGGGCGCAAGCCUGAUCCAGCCAUGCCGCGUGAGUGAAGAAGGCCUUCGGGUUGUAAAGCUCUUUCGGCCGGGAAGAAAUCGCGUGAGUUAAUACCUUGCGUGGAUGACGGUACCGGAAUAAGAAGCACCGGCUAACUACGUGCCAGCAGCCGCGGUAAUACGUAGGGUGCGAGCGUUAAUCGGAAUUACUGGGCGUAAAGCGUGCGCAGGCGGUUUUGUAAGAUAGGCGUGAAAUCCCCGGGCUCAACCUGGGAACUGCGCUUAUGACUGCAAGGCUAGAGUAUGGCAGAGGGGGGUGGAAUUCCACGUGUAGCAGUGAAAUGCGUAGAGAUGUGGAGGAACACCGAUGGCGAAGGCAGCCCCCUGGGCCAAUACUGACGCUCAUGCACGAAAGCGUGGGUAGCACACAGGAUUAGAUACCCUGGUAGUCCACGCCCUAAACGAUGUCUACUAGGUGUUGGGUGGGUAAAACCAUUUAGUACCGGAGCUAACGCGUGAAGUUGACCGCCUGGGGAG
rnacentral:rRNA from 2 species